rnacentral:rRNA from 1 species
UACAGAGGUCUCGAGCGUUGUUCGGAUUCAUUGGGCGUAAAGGGUGCGUAGGCGGUAGCAUAAGUCUAGUGUGAAAGCUCGAAGCUCAACUUCGAAAUUGCACUAGAUACUGUGUUGCUAGAGGACUGUAGAGGAGAUUGGAAUUCACGGUGUAGCAGUGAAAUGCGUAGAUAUCGUGAGGAAGGCCAGUGGCGAAAGCGAAUCUCUGGGCAGUUCCUGACGCUGAGGCACGAAGGCCAGGGGAGCAAACGGG